rnacentral:rRNA from 1 species
AGCAGCCGCGGUAAUUCCAGCUCCAAUAGCGUAUAUUAAAGUUGUUGCAGUUAAAAAGCUCGUAGUUGAAUUUCGAGAUCAGUACGCUGGUCGUGCCUUCGGUAUGCACUGGUGUCACUGGUUUCUCCCUUCUGAAGAACCGUCAUGUCAUUAAGUUGGUGUGGCGGGGAAUCAGGACUGUUACUUUGAAAAAAUUAGAGUGUUUAAAGCAGGCUCGCGCUUGAAUACAUUAGCAUGGAAUAAUGAAAUAGGACGUUUGACCCUAUUUUGUUGGUUUCUAGGAUCGACGUAAUGAUUAAUAGGGAUAGUUGGGGGCAUUAGUAUUCAAUUGUCAGAGGUGAAAUUCUUGGAUUUAUUGAAGACUAACUACUGCGAAAGCAUUUGCCAAGGAUGUUUUCAUUAAUCAAGAACGAAAGUUAGGGGAUCGAAGACGAUCAGAUACCGUCGUAGUCUUAACCAUAAACUAUGCCGA